rnacentral:rRNA from 1 species
UUAAGCGACUAAGCGUACACGGUGGAUGCCCUGGCAGUCAGAGGCGAUGAAGGACGUGCUAAUCUGCGAUAAGCGUCGGUAAGGUGAUAUGAACCGUUAUAACCGGCGAUUUCCGAAUGGGGAAACCCAGUGUGUUUCGACACACUAUCAUUAACUGAAUCCAUAGGUUAAUGAGGCGAACCGGGGGAACUGAAACAUCUAAGUACCCCGAGGAAAAGAAAUCAACCGAGAUUCCCCCAGUAGCGGCGAGCGAACGGGGAGGAGCCCAGAGCCUGAAUCAGUGUGUGUGUUAGUGGAAGCGUCUGGAAAGGCGCGCGAUACAGGGUGACAGCCCCGUACACAAAAAUGCACAUACUGUGAGCUCGAUGAGUAGGGCGGGACACGUGGUAUCCUGUCUGAAUAUGGGGGGACCAUCCUCCAAGGCUAAAUACUCCUGACUGACCGAUAGUGAACCAGUACCGUGAGGGAAAGGCGAAAAGAACCCCGGCGAGGGGAGUGAAAAAGAACCUGAAACCGUGUACGUACAAGCAGUGGGAGCCUCUUUAUGGGGUGACUGCGUACCUUUUGUAUAAUGGGUCAGCGACUUAUAUUCUGUAGCAAGGUUAACCGAAUAGGGGAGCCGAAGGGAAACCGAGUCUUAACUGGGCGUUAAGUUGCAGGGUAUAGACCCGAAACCCGGUGAUCUAGCCAUGGGCAGGUUGAAGGUUGGGUAACACUAACUGGAGGACCGAACCGACUAAUGUUGAAAAAUUAGCGGAUGACUUGUGGCUGGGGGUGAAAGGCCAAUCAAACCGGGAGAUAGCUGGUUCUCCCCGAAAGCUAUUUAGGUAGCGCCUCGUGAAUUCAUCUCCGGGGGUAGAGCACUGUUUCGGCAAGGGGGUCAUCCCGACUUACCAACCCGAUGCAAACUGCGAAUACCGGAGAAUGUUAUCACGGGAGACACACGGCGGGUGCUAACGUCCGUCGUGAAGAGGGAAACAACCCAGACCGCCAGCUAAGGUCCCAAAGUCAUGGUUAAGUGGGAAACGAUGUGGGAAGGCCCAGACAGCCAGGAUGUUGGCUUAGAAGCAGCCAUCAUUUAAAGAAAGCGUAAUAGCUCACUGGUCGAGUCGGCCUGCGCGGAAGAUGUAACGGGGCUAAACCAUGCACCGAAGCUGCGGCAGCGACACUAUGUGUUGUUGGGUAGGGGAGCGUUCUGUAAGCCUGUGAAGGUGUACUGUGAGGUAUGCUGGAGGUAUCAGAAGUGCGAAUGCUGACAUAAGUAACGAUAAAGCGGGUGAAAAGCCCGCUCGCCGGAAGACCAAGGGUUCCUGUCCAACGUUAAUCGGGGCAGGGUGAGUCGACCCCUAAGGCGAGGCCGAAAGGCGUAGUCGAUGGGAAACAGGUUAAUAUUCCUGUACUUGGUGUUACUGCGAAGGGGGGACGGAGAAGGCUAUGUUGGCCGGGCGACGGUUGUCCCGGUUUAAGCGUGUAGGCUGGUUUUCCAGGCAAAUCCGGAAAAUCAAGGCUGAGGCGUGAUGACGAGGCACUACGGUGCUGAAGCAACAAAUGCCCUGCUUCCAGGAAAAGCCUCUAAGCAUCAGGUAACAUCAAAUCGUACCCCAAACCGACACAGGUGGUCAGGUAGAGAAUACCAAGGCGCUUGAGAGAACUCGGGUGAAGGAACUAGGCAAAAUGGUGCCGUAACUUCGGGAGAAGGCACGCUGAUAUGUAGGUGAAGUCCCUCGCGGAUGGAGCUGAAAUCAGUCGAAGAUACCAGCUGGCUGCAACUGUUUAUUAAAAACACAGCACUGUGCAAACACGAAAGUGGACGUAUACGGUGUGACGCCUGCCCGGUGCCGGAAGGUUAAUUGAUGGGGUCAGCGCAAGCGAAGCUCUUGAUCGAAGCCCCGGUAAACGGCGGCCGUAACUAUAACGGUCCUAAGGUAGCGAAAUUCCUUGUCGGGUAAGUUCCGACCUGCACGAAUGGCGUAAUGAUGGCCAGGCUGUCUCCACCCGAGACUCAGUGAAAUUGAACUCGCUGUGAAGAUGCAGUGUACCCGCGGCAAGACGGAAAGACCCCGUGAACCUUUACUAUAGCUUGACACUGAACAUUGAGCCUUGAUGUGUAGGAUAGGUGGGAGGCUUAGAAGUGUGGACGCCAGUCUGCAUGGAGCCGACCUUGAAAUACCACCCUUUAAUGUUUGAUGUUCUAACGUUGACCCGUGAUCCGGGUUGCGGACAGUGUCUGGUGGGUAGUUUGACUGGGGCGGUCUCCUCCUAAAGAGUAACGGAGGAGCACGAAGGUUGGCUAAUCCUGGUCGGACAUCAGGAGGUUAGUGCAAUGGCAUAAGCCAGCUUGACUGCGAGCGUGACGGCGCGAGCAGGUGCGAAAGCAGGUCAUAGUGAUCCGGUGGUUCUGAAUGGAAGGGCCAUCGCUCAACGGAUAAAAGGUACUCCGGGGAUAACAGGCUGAUACCGCCCAAGAGUUCAUAUCGACGGCGGUGUUUGGCACCUCGAUGUCGGCUCAUCACAUCCUGGGGCUGAAGUAGGUCCCAAGGGUAUGGCUGUUCGCCAUUUAAAGUGGUACGCGAGCUGGGUUUAGAACGUCGUGAGACAGUUCGGUCCCUAUCUGCCGUGGGCGCUGGAGAACUGAGGGGGGCUGCUCCUAGUACGAGAGGACCGGAGUGGACGCAUCACUGGUGUUCGGGUUGUCAUGCCAAUGGCACUGCCCGGUAGCUAAAUGCGGAAGAGAUAAGUGCUGAAAGCAUCUAAGCACGAAACUUGCCCCGAGAUGAGUUCUCCCUGACUCCCUGAGAGUCCUGAAGGAACGUUGAAGACGACGACGUUGAUAGGCCGGGUGUGUAAGCGCAGCGAUGCGUUGAGCUAACCGGUACUAAUGAACCGUGAGGCUUAACCUU